CGUGAGUUUUCGUUUCCCAGCUUUGAUAUGCCUGCGCUUUGCGUUCCCCAUUUUUUACGUCCCUGCAGUGCAUCGUUUCCCACCCCCCUCGAGUAUAAUUUUCCCGCAGUGGAAAACAAUGACGUAUUCCGGGUUAUUUUUUGUUUACCGAUGUUCACCGUUCCUACGUUGUAUUUCACCGUGUUUUAUCGGCCCGCUCUCCCCGUAUAUAGGGCACAGGGCCUUUUGGUAAAUAAUGGCGAGAAAUACUGUAAGCCGCGGCGAAAAAAACAAAAAACAAAAACUCCGCGUAUUUUUUCGUUUAUUCGGUCGGGGUAUAAAUACGGUCGAAAAUAUGAAAUAUGCGGUUUUGGUUGUAUUCGAAUUGUUACGUUAUAAUAAUCACUUUUUUUUUCCGCGCUGUCAAACGAACGCGAACAAUACGCGAGUUCAAAAGCGCAUUCCGCCGUAAAAAUUCCGUUUGUCGUACUACCGUAAUACACCGUGGGCCGCAUAACCCGCGGGCCAUUUUAUUGUUAGUAAUAUUUAAUUUUAAUUUUUUUUUUGGUAAAAUCGAAUAACUCGGAAUUAUUAAAUCAAUCAUAUCGGCAUUGUGAUUGUCGCGUCCGUACCUAACCUAACGCGUAACAAUCCGUCUGAGAAAAACGAAAAACAUAAAAUAAAAAAACAACCGCCUCUCUGUCGCAGCCGAGGCUUACGGUCGCGGCGCGCGCUUUACCGUUAUGAUGUACUGCCGUACAAUCGCUUGCACCGACGCAGGUUGCGUGCGGUACAUUAUUAUUAUAUAUACAGAUGGUAAUCGUGUUCCGGGUUCGCUGUUUCGCGUUAUUUAUUUAUUUUUAUUCUUUUCCCCGCGUCCUUUUCCGAAAUGGCAUAACGUCAUUUACGUUCGUUCGUUCGUUCGUUCGUUUGUUUUUUUUUUUUUUCCCGAACGUUCGACGCGCGCCGAGCAUAAUAAAAACCGUAAAGCGAAAAUAUCUUAUUGAAAACGAUCUCGCGCGGCAACCUACCCGUAUCGCGCAAUUCGCGCACGGUCUAAGAUUCUAUUACGCCGCCGUAUGUACACGCACGCGUACGUAUAUAAAAUAUAAUACGUGUAGCGCGUACGUUUCGAUGCGAAACAAUAAAACAGACGCGACCGAGACUACUACGGGCCCC